rnacentral:rRNA from 1 species
CCUACGGGAGGCAGCAGUGAGGAAUUUUCCGCAAUGGGGGAAACCCUGACGGAGCAACGCCGCGUGCAGGAGGACGCUUUUCGGAGUGAAAACUGCUUUUCUGUGGGAAGAGAAUGGACGGUACCACAGGAAGAAGCCCCGGCUAACUACGUGCCAGCAGCCGCGGUAAUACGUAGGGGGCGAGCGUUGUCCGGAGUUACUGGGCGUAAAGGGCGUGCAGGCGGUCGUACGCGUUUCGGGUGACAGCGGGUGGCUUAACUGCCCGAGUGUUCGAAAGACGGUACGACUUGAGGGCUCGAGAGGGACACGGAAUUCCGGGUGGAGUGGUGAAAUGCGUAGAGAUCCGGAGGAACACCGAAGGCGAAGGCAGUGUCCUGGCGAGUGACUGACGCUGAGGUGCGAAAGCUAGGGGAGCGAACGGGAUUAGAUACCCCAGUAGUC